GCGCGGGUGAUGAAAUUGGUAUACAUGUAGCCUUGAGGUGGCUAUGCCCUCACGGGCGUGGAGGUUCAAGUCCUCUCCCGCGCACAA
rnacentral:tRNA from 3 species